GACGCGGUACGCAAUCUGGCAAAGCGGCGCGACCAACGACGCCUUCCUGACGUCAGGCAUCGUCGGUGCCCGAAACCUUCGUGUUUUGUGGGUUCGACUCCCACCCGCGUCA
rnacentral:tRNA from 1 species